rnacentral:rRNA from 1 species
GAAGGGGAGCUAGCGUUGUUCGGAAUCACUGGGCGUAAAGCGCACGUAGGCGGAUUUGUUAGUCAGGGGGGUGAAAUCCCGGGGGCUCAACCUCGGAACUGCCUUUGAUACUGCAAGUCUGGAGUCCGGAAGAGGUGGGUGGAAUUCCUAGUGUAGAGGUGAAAUUCUUAGAUAUUAGGAAGAACACCGGUGGCGAAGGCGGCCCACUGGUCCGGUACUGACGCUGAGGUGCGAACGCGUGGGGAGCAAACAGGAUUAGAUACCCUGGUAGUCCACGCCGUAAACGAUGGAUGCUAGCCGUCGGCAAGCUUGCUUGUCGGUGGCGCAGCUAACGCAUUAAGCAUCCCGCCUGGGGAGUACGGCCGCAAGGUUA